rnacentral:rRNA from 1 species
GACGAGCCACACAAACGUUAUUCGGAAUUACUGGGCUUAAAGGGUGCGUAGGCGGCCAACUAAGUCAGACGUGAAAUCCCUCGGCUUAACCGGGGAACUGCAUCUGAUACUGGAUGGCUUGAGUUCGGGAGAGGGAUGCGGAAUUCCAGGUGUAGCGGUGAAAUGCGUAGAUAUCUGGAGGAACACCGGUGGCGAAGGCGGCAUCCUGGACCGGCACUGACGCUGAGGAGCGAAAGCGUGGGGAGCGAACAGG